rnacentral:rRNA from 1 species
UACGUAGGGGGCAAGCGUUGUCCGGAAUCAUUGGGCGUAAAGCGCGUGUAGGCGGUUACGUAAGUCUGCUGUGAAAGUCGGAGGCUCAACCUUCGAAAGCCGGUGGAUACUGCGUGACUAGAGUACGGAAGAGGAGAGUGGAAUUCCCGGUGUAGAGGUGAAAUUCGUAGAUAUCGGGAGGAACACCAGUGGCGAAGGCGGCGACCUGGGCCAAUACUGACGCUGAGGUGCGAAAGCGUGGGGAGCAAACAGG